rnacentral:rRNA from 1 species
CUGGGUUUAGAACGUCGUGAGACAGUUCGGUCCCUAUCUGCCGUGGGCGCUGGAGAACUGAGGGGGGCGUGCUCCUAGUACGAGAGGACCGGAGUGGACGCAUCACUGGUGUUCGGGUUGUCAUGCCAAUGGCACUGCCCGGUAGCUAAAUGCGGAAGAGAUAAGUGCUGAAAGCAUCUAAGCACGAAACUUGCCCCGAGAUGAGUUCUCCCUGAGACUUAGAGUCUCCUGAAGGAACGUUGAAGACGACGACGUUGAUAGGCCGGGUGUGUAAGCGCAGCGAUGCGUUGAGCUAACCGGUACUAAUGAACCGUGAGGCUUAACCUUAC